CUUUUUCUCUUUUAUUAUUAUCUUUUUGCUUUACUUUUCUUCUCUCUUUUGCAAAAUUGCUCAUCGUCACACAAUACCAAAACUCCUCCACGAAUCUCUUCUUCUCCCCAUCUCCGAUUCGGAAUCCAAAUGGGUGAGGAAGUAAGGAUGAGCGAUUACGACGUCUCCGGCGACGGAGAUAGGGUUCUCGAAUGGGAGAUGGGGCUACCUAGCGACGACGAUUUGACAUCUCUCUCCUACUCUCUGAUUCCUCCGAAUCUCGCCAUGGCUUUCAGUAUAACUCCAGAGAAGAGCCGCACCAUCGAAGACGUGAACCGCGCAUCGGAGACGACCUUCUCCUCGCUCCGCAGCGGCGGAUCUUCAGGUCUCAACACCUCUUCCUCUAACAACAACAACAACAACAGCGUCGCGGCGGAGGAAGAGGACGAGGAGGAGGAGGAUCGAGUCGGAUCGAGCAGCCCAGGAUCGGACUCGAAGAAACAGAAGACAUCCGGCGACGGCGUGGAUCUCUCCCCGUCGGCGGCGGCGGCGGAGGAGGGAGAUUCGGGGACUGAAGAUCCAACCGGGAAGACGCUGAAACGACCGCGUUUAGUGUGGACGCCGCAGCUGCACAAGAGGUUCGUCGACGUGGUGGCUCACCUAGGGGUCAAGAACGCGGUGCCGAAGACGAUUAUGCAGCUGAUGAACGUGGAAGGGUUGACCCGAGAGAACGUCGCGUCCCACCUCCAGAAGUACAGGCUGUACCUCAAACGGAUGCAGGGGCUGACGACGGAAGGUCCGUCUUCUUCCGACAAGCUCUUCUCCUCCACGCCCGUGCCUCCUCAGAGCUUCCAAGAACUCGGAGGCGGUAACGGUAACGGCCAAGGGAAUGUAUCGGCGGGUGUGCCGUACGGAGCAGCGCCGCAGCCGCCGAUGAUGCAGAUGCCUGUGUAUGCGCAUCAUAUGGGUAUGCAAGGGUAUCAUCAUCACCAGAGUCACGGUCAUGAUCCUUAUCAUCAGAACCGUCAGCAUCAUCAUGAAGCGAAUCCAUAUAUGAUGCAGCAGAACAAGUUCGGAUCCAUGGCGUCUUAUCCUUCUGUUGGGGGUAGAAGUGCGAAUGAGAAUUAAAAUGAAAUCGAAUUGGUUCUUGACUUGUGUCCCGCAUCAAUAUGUCUUUAUCUUUUGCCGAGUUUUCUUAACCAUAGGAGAGAUCAUACAACAUAUCAUGUCGAAGCUAGACCAAUGAGUAUUCUUGGAAGACAAUGCAUACUUGGGGACUUCUGUCAAGUUUCGUGUACUCAUUUUCUAGAUUGUGAGUAAUAGCCUUUCAUUGGACUGGAGAGCCACGUACCAAUGAACUUCCUACACAAGGGAGAAAGUGACAUUCCAACAAAAGCGAAAACUCUUUUUUAUUCUUUCUUGCUGAUUUGAGUUAUUGGUUUCAGCUACGUAUGGUUCUACUUUGAGAUCUAUAUAAUAAUUUAAGACCUUUUCAUCUC